ACAAUGCCUGCACGCCUGAAGGAUG
rnacentral:misc_RNA from 1 species